AUCAGUCAACGCCAAACCAAACCCAUAAUCCCUUCUUUCCCCUCUCCUUCAAUCCUCAAUCUGAAACAAUCCUCAUCUGGGUUUUACUCUCCACCCCAGAAUCUCAAAUGGGUCGCAGACUAAACGACCCAGAAGCUUCCCGUUUCACCUCUCUCACCCUCCUUCUGCUGGGUUUUAUCUCCUGCGCGUUGUUCUACACGAUCCUCUCCUUAGUGCUUAAUGCCAGCGCCAAUUUUACAAAUUCAGGCUCCGAGUCUUUGGAUUUGAUAGAGGAGAGUUCAGAGGGUAAUGAUGGUGGGUGUUGUAGAGGGAU
rnacentral:misc_RNA from 1 species